rnacentral:rRNA from 1 species
GACGGAGGAUGCAAGCGUUAUCCGGAAUGAUUGGGCGUAAAGCGUCCGCAGGUGGCAGUUCAAGUCUGCUGUCAAAGACCGGGGCUUAACUUCGGAAAGGCAGUGGAAACUGAACAGCUAGAGUAUGGUAGGGGCAGAGGGAAUUCCUGGUGUAGCGGUGAAAUGCGUAGAGAUCAGGAAGAACAUCGGUGGCGAAGGCGCUCUGCUGGACCAUAACUGACACUCAGGGACGAAGCUAGGGUAGCAAAUGG